CCGAGACCUUUUUGCGUCCCCUGAACGCCCCGUCGGGGCUUCCAGUCUUCUCUGCCUGCCCUGAAGGCUUGAGUACAUUCGGCUUUGGAGCCUGCUGACCCUGCUACCCAGAAUGCUCUUCUCCACCUCCUUAUCUGAUGACUCUUCACUCUGGGAUAUCCCACAGUGUCAUUUUCUCAAAGAAGACUUCGAUGGGACCUCCUGCUGGGCUGUGAGCUGCAUGGGAGACUGUCCUCUUCCAGCCCAGAACCUGUCACUCAGAUGGCACCAGGAAGUGUCUGCUAUGGGAUGAAGAAAGGUGCUGCUAAUUCCCUUUACAUUCCUGCGUGAGGAAUAUUUUCUGUUCUCCUGCGCUGAUUUUUUUAUUUUAUUCUUUGGGUUAUAAUUGAAUACUAUCAUGCUUGAUUUUGUUGGUUAAAUUGUUGAAUCUUUGGCCUUUAUUAGCUCUUACUGGUGGGCUUCUGGGUACCCAUCCCCCAUCCUCUCCUCCUCCCCAUUUCCUUAUUUUCUGGCCCUAUAAGAUGCCUCAGGUUCAUUUUGUAUUCUCUCCAUCCCAGCCCUAUAUUCCUCCAGGAAGCUCUGGUUUUUACUGGAGAAUGGUAUUUAAAGAUAAAUCCCUCAGGGCGUUCCU